rnacentral:rRNA from 1 species
GACGAACGCUGGCGGCGUGCUUAACACAUGCAAGUCGAACGGAAAGGCCCUGCUUUUGUGGUGUGCUCGAGUGGCGAACGGGUGAGUAACACGUGAGUAACCUGCCCUUGACUUUGGGAUAACUUCAGGAAACUGGGGCUAAUACCGGAUAGGAGCUCCUGCUGCAUGGUGGGGGUUGGAAAGUUUCGGCGGUUGGGGAUGGACUCGCGGCUUAUCAGCUUGUUGGUGGGGUAGUGGCUUACCAAGGCUUUGACGGGUAGCCGGCCUGAGAGGGUGACCGGCCACAUUGGGACUGAGAUACGGCCCAGACUCCUACGGGAGGCAGCGGUGGGGAAUAUUGCACAAUGGGCGGAAGCCUGAUGCAGCAACGCCGCGUGCGGGAUGACGGCCUUCGGGUUGGAAACCGCUUUCGCCUGUGACGAAGCGUGAGUGACGGUAAUGGGUAAAGAAGCACCGGCUAACUACGUG